GGGGUUGUAGCUCAGUGGUAGAGCGCUUGCAUUGCACGUGUGAGGCCCUGGGUUUGAUUCCUAGCACCA
rnacentral:tRNA from 1 species